rnacentral:rRNA from 1 species
GUGCCAGCCGCCGCGGUAAUACCGGCAGCACGAGUGAUGGCCGCUUUUAUUGGGCCUAAAGCGUUCGUAGCCGGCCAUUCAAGUUCGUCGGGAAAUCUGCCCGCUUAACGGGCAGGCGUCCGGCGAAAACUGAGUGGCUUGGGGCCGAGAGAUCCAAGGGGUACGUCCGGGGUAGGAGUGAAAUCCCGUAAUCCUGGACGGACCACCGAUGGCGAAAGCACCUUGGAAAAGCGGACCCGACGGUGAGGGACGAAAGCUAGGGUCUCGAACCGGAUUAGAAACCCGAGUAGUCC